rnacentral:lncRNA from 1 species
CACAGACAGGUGUUCGAUGAUGGGGGCGACGAGCACCAGGAGACUGAAUUGUUCGCAAGCAGCUCGGCUAUAGAAGACAACACUGCCAGAAGCCAGUUGAUCAUCAAGACUUGCCACAGUUGCCUUAAAUAAAGUUUAACAAUUGCAUGUCAUGUGCA